GCAUCUGUAGCUCAGUGGAUAGAGCAUUGGCCUCCGGAGCCAAGUGGGUGAGUUCGACUCUCAUCAGAUGCA
rnacentral:tRNA from 1 species